UAAUACGAAGGGGGCUAGCGUUGCUCGGAAUCACUGGGCGUAAAGGGCGCGUAGGCGGCUGUUCAAGUCGGGGGUGAAAGCCUGUGGCUCAACCACAGAAUGGCCUUCGAUACUGGACGGCUCGAGACCGGAAGAGGUCAGUGGAACUGCGAGUGUAGAGGUGAAAUUCGUAGAUAUUCGCAAGAACACCAGUGGCGAAGGCGGCUGACUGGUCCGGUUCUGACGCUGAGGCGCGAAAGCGUGGGGAGCAAACAGGAUUAGAUACCCUGGUAGUCCACGCCGUAAACGAUGGAUGCUAGCCGUUGGCGCGCUUGCGCGUCAGUGGCGCCGUUAACACUUUAAGCAUCCCGCCUGGGGAGUACGGUCGCAAGAUUA
rnacentral:rRNA from 1 species